ACAUAGUAUGUCCUUAUGGAGACAUCUCCUCCCAAGGAGACUUAAGAGCAGUGUCACUGCUACUCAGAGUCCCAGAGAAGGGAAAUGUUAAUGCUCCUUCUCAGCUGCAGGACAAGGAGGAGGUCUGGCACUUCUGAAGCUGGAGGCUGUGAUCCGCAGUGGUAACUAACACAGAAAACAAGCAAUGCUUGUCCAGCACCUUGGCUGUUCCUCAGUACAGAACUGUAGCAGAAAAGAAAGAGCUGCUCGGAGAAAUACGAAUAAAUGCAUCGUUCUUAUGGACAACUGUAUCUCUGAAAAACUUAAACUUUCAUAUUGAUAUGGGAGCAGAGGAAAAAUCUGGUUUUCAAUGAAGAUUGUUUGGGAAGUGAAAACAUUUUGUGCUCUGUAGCCUUGUGGUACUUUCCUAGUACUUUGAAAUCUUCUAGUGAUGUUCACGUAGAAGCAAUGGCUUGCAGUAACCCUCAAGAUAAAAUAACUGUAUGCUGAUUAUAUUCUGAGAUGGUCACGUUGAAGGCAGCAUAAGUGCAGCCUGCAUGACAAAGAGUGAAUUGUUGAAUUCAGUUAAAGCCCCAUGCUAAUUUUGACUUCUUGAGGAUCUGGGACAGAACCUUUGUGAAGUAUAGGUUUGCCCUUUUUUUUUUUUUUUUUUUUUGAAGAAACAUAUGUAUAUAUUAGCACAACUAUGGUCUAGGUCAGCGUUUCAUCUUCUGUGAUUACAUAUAUACGAACAACCAGACUCUGAAAUAAAUGUGUAUCCAACCAGAAGUAACACCUUUGAGAGCACCUUCUUUGAUCCUAGGAAGCUGAAUGAGAAUAACAUUUGGAAAAAUUAGUUAGAACCUGAUGUGUUUGAGUUUGUUUUGCUUUAGAAGACUUUUAGAAUUUCACAAAAUAAACUGGAGGCACAGCGAUACAUAACUUUGUUUCAGAGAGCCAGAACACGCAUGAGACAGUAUAACCCCUUUGGUUCAGAACUUACUUUUCUUAGCAAGCUUUUUCAGUCUCUUGUUGCAAUGAGACCUUGCUUCUGACAAUAAUUAGGUCUGACCUUGGGGAGUCAAGUUUGUCCUGAGCUUGGUAGUGAUACUGUAUUUCAACAGUGAUUGGGAAAUGUGAAAAACAGUAAUUAUUUUUCUGUAUUUUCUUCUUUUAUCUGUCAUAUGUUUCAUUUCCAUUUUAUGUGCAUGAUGUAUAUACGGGUACCUGACUUACUGUGAUAAAGUUAUCUUCUGUAUCAA